rnacentral:rRNA from 1 species
UACGUAGGGCGCAAGCGUUGUCCGGAAUUAUUGGGCGUAAAGAGCUCGUAGGUGGCUUGUCGCGUCGGGUGUGAAAGCUUGGGGCUUAACUCCAGGUCUGCAUUCGAUACGGGCUGGCUAGAGGUAGGUAGGGGAGAAUGGAAUUCCCGGUGUAGCGGUGAAAUGCGCAGAUAUCGGGAGGAACACCGGUGGCGAAGGCGGUUCUCUGGGCCUUACCUGACGCUGAGGAGCGAAAGCGUGGGGAGCGAACAGG